UACGUAGGGGGCAAGCGUUGUCCGGAUUUACUGGGCGUAAAGAGCGCGCAGGCGGUCGUUCAAGUCGCGUGUGAAAGCCCCCGGCUCAACUGGGGAGGGUCACGCGAUACUGAUCGACUCGAAGGCAGGAGAGGGAAGUGGAAUUCCCGGUGUAGUGGUGAAAUGCGUAGAUAUCGGGAGGAACACCAGUGGCGAAGGCGACUUCCUGGCCUGUUCUUGACGCUGAGGCGCGAAAGCUAGGGGAGCAAACGGGG
rnacentral:rRNA from 1 species